rnacentral:rRNA from 1 species
GAUGAACGCUGGCGGCGUGCCUAAUACAUGCAAGUCGAGCGAACAGACGAGGAGCUUGCUCCUCUGACGUUAGCGGCGGACGGGUGAGUAACACGUGGAUAACCUACCUAUAAGACUGGGAUAACUUCGGGAAACCGGAGCUAAUACCGGAUAAUAUAUUGAACCGCAUGGUUCAAUAGUGAAAGACGGUUUUGCUGUCACUUAUAGAUGGAUCCGCGCCGCAUUAGCUAGUUGGUAAGGUAACGGCUUACCAAGGCAACGAUGCGUAGCCGACCUGAGAGGGUGAUCGGCCACACUGGAACUGAGACACGGUCCAGACUCCUACGGGAGGCAGCAGUAGGGAAUCUUCCGCAAUGGGCGGAAGCCUGACGGAGCAACGCCGCGUGAGUGAUGAAGGUCUUCGGAUCGUAAAACUCUGUUAUUAGGGAAGAACAAAUGUGUAAGUAACUAUGCACGUCUUGACGGUAACUAAUCAGAAAGCCACGGCUAACUACGUG